UACGUAGGGUGCGAGCGUUAAUCGGAAUUACUGGGCGUAAAGCGUGCGCAGGCGGUUUUGUAAGCCAGAUGUGAAAUCCCCGGGCUUAACCUGGGAAUGGCAUUUGGGACUGCAAAGCUGGAGUGCGGCAGAGGGGACUGGAAUCCUGGUGUAGCAGUGGAAAUGCGUAGAGAUCAGGAGGAACACCAAUUGCGAAGGCAGCUCGCUGGAACGUAAACUGACGCUGAGACGCGAAAGCCGUGGGGAGCAAACAGG
rnacentral:rRNA from 1 species